GAUUUCUGGCUUGGCGCGCACGGCUCGCCUCGUUUUCGAUGGUGAAUGCCGUCGUGCGCCGGUCAUCGUUCUGGUGAACGUUGGUGCCCUUCACUGGGUGGCUGGCGCGCAUCAGAUCCUUUACUUUGAAAAAAUUAGAGUGUUUAAAGCAGGCAAGCGCUAUGAAUAUAUUAGCAUGGAAUAAUAAUUUAGGACUUUGGUUCUAUUUUGUUGGUUUCUAGGACUGAAGUAAUGAUUGAUAGGGAUAGUUGGGGGUGCUAGUAUUCAGUGGCCAGAGGUGAAAUUCUUGGAUUCACUGAAGACUAACUACUGCGAAAGCAUU
rnacentral:rRNA from 1 species